rnacentral:piRNA from 1 species
UAUUCUUUUCUCUAUAGUUUU